UAGCAGUAGGGAAUCUUCCACAAUGGACGCAAGUCUGAUGGAGCAAUGCCGCGUGAGUGAAGAAGGGUUUCGGCUCGUAAAACUCUGUUGUUGAAGAAGAACGGGUGUCAGAGUAACUGUUGACAUCGUGACGGUAUUCAACCAGAAAGCCACGGCUAACUACGUGCCAGCAGCCGCGGUAAUACGUAGGUGGCAAGCGUUGUCCGGAUUUAUUGGGCGUAAAGCGAGCGCAGGCGGUUAUUUAAGUCUGAUGUGAAAGCCUUCGGCUUAACCGAAGAAGUGCAUCGGAAACUGAAUGACUUGAGUGCAGAAGAGGACAGUGGAACUCCAUGUGUAGCGGUGGAAU
rnacentral:rRNA from 1 species